rnacentral:lncRNA from 1 species
CGAAGUAGAGAACUUACACUUUCAGAUCUCGUGAGGUAUCAGAUUCAAGCAACCCUUAAGAAUUUUGAUUCCUAUUCCACUAUGUUUCAAGUAAAGAUAAAUGUUAUGUUAACCUUUAGAAUAAAAAAAUUUUUAAAUACACCCUGGCGAUCGGAUCCUGAAUCAAUUUUUUUUCUUCAUUAGGGUCAAAGAGAUGAAUUAUGCAGUAACCAUAUAUCGAGGUUCUUGAAUAUUGCUUUAUAAUUAUUCGACCUAUCUAGACAUUAGGUAUCAUUGCUAGAUGGUCACUUCGAUUAGUACAGGAAGAGUUCCUAUACUACAGACUUAAUAUUUGAACCUAUGGAGUUAUACAUAAAGUCAAAUAAUGUAGG